rnacentral:lncRNA from 1 species
GAGAGGGUCAUUUUCAGAGCAAACACAGAGAGCCUUUCCCUAAGAAAGGGAAUGAAUGGUAGACAGGCAGAAAUCACACGUGCCCCCUGAGUGCAGCCAUGCCAGGCAUGGCCAGCAAGCGCUCCCAUGGAGAAAAACUAUUUCUACAGGUAACAGCCCUCCACAGGGGUGUUGGGGCUCCACUUUCCAACCUCUUUCUUCCUUGGGAGCAAAAACUCUGUGGCUGCCAGGACCUGCCUCUCUGAAAACCCCCGUAAAGCUUCAAAGGGGCCUGUCCACCUCGCCAGCUUUGAUCUCAGGAGGAAACUUGCUCAGACACAUGAUCCAAAGGAAUGUGUACAAUUCCAGGUAUGCACAGGCACCUCCCUGGGCAGAAAGCAAGGCGCUUUCAUCACAGGCUGCGGGAGUCACCAACUGAAGAGACUCAAUGUCCUUGAAAGCACUUUUCUUUUUAUUAUGUUCAAAAUUCAGCAACGAAAACUGCUCGUCUUGCUUCUACGGAAGCUGUAAGGACGAGAAAGUGGAGCGCUGUCGCGGAAAGAGGCAGAAAUUUGGUGACACAAGAGCGAUCUCAGGACAGGGUGGAGCCAGGGAUCAGGACUGUGGUGCCCAGUCCCAGCUCAGCUAAGCCAAUGUGCGUCUUUGGAUGCUUCCUGCCCUAGAACAUCGGACUCCAAGCUCUUCAGUUUUGGAACUUGGACUGGCUUUCCUUGCUCCUCAGCUUACAGACAGCCUAUUGUGGGACCUUGUGAUUGUGUAAGUUAAUAAACUCACAUAUAUAUGUGUGUAUAUAUAUAUAUAUAUAAUGGGUAUAUAUAUAUAAUGUGUAUAUAUGUAUAAUGUGUAUAUAUAAUGUGUAUAUAUAUAAUGUGUGUAUAUAUAAUGUGUAUAUAUAUAAUGUGUAUGUAUAUAUAAUGUGUAUAUAUAAUGUGUAUAUAUAUAAUGUGUAUAUGUAAUGUGUAUAUAUAUAAUGUGUGUAUAUAUAUAUAAUGUGUAUAUAUAAUGUGUAUAUAUAUAUAUAUAUAAUGAGUAUAUAUAUAUUAUUAGUUCUGUUCCUCUAAGAGAAUCCCUACUAAUACACCAAGCUACUAGAGUUUGAGCUUCCCCUUCCUUUAUGAGACAUUUUUGGUAUUAAAACCAACACUGACUAUAAUAACAAGAUACAGAAGCAACCCAAAUUUCCAACAAUAUAGGAGAGCUCAUAUGAUAAAUCCAGCUAUGAGAAUGCUAUGCAACCUUUAAAAAUGACAUGGGAGGAAAGUAUUUAAUGACAUGGAAUAUUUGAUGUAUUAAUAGUACGGAUGUGUUUAACAUCACCAAAGCUAGUCACCAAGACUGCUAGAGCAACAUAAGAGAGGAUCUCAUUUUUGUACAAAACUCAUAACUGCAAAUGAUGCUCACCAUGUGUCCAGAUGGCAGAAUUAUGGGUAACAUUUGUUUUCUUCUUUGUAUUUUUUCAAACUCCAAGUUUUAUAUAAAAAUGUAUAUUACUUUCAGAAUCAGAAAAGAAAAGCAAAGCUCACUUAAAAAACAAAAAGGACAUUUCAACAAAUGUGAGAAGCCAACUGGAUCUCCACAGGUAAAAGAAUGAAGCGUGUCUCCUUCCCCAGCAUGCACAAAAUUUAAGUCAAAAUGGAACAUAGACCUAGUGCAAGAGCUAAAACUAUAUAAAUCUUAGAACAAAGUAUAGGAAUAAAUCUGUAUGACCUUGGGUUACAAAUACAUAGAAACAAUAAUUUAUUAGAUAAGACACCAAAAACACAAGUGACAAAAGAAAAAACAUAGGUAAAUUGAAUUUCAUUAAAAUUUAAAACCUCUGUGCUGAAAAAAUACCACCAAUAAAGUGAAAAGAAAAUCCACAGAAUGAGAGAAAAUAUUUUCAAAUCAUUUAUCUGGUAAGAGACGUGUAUCCAGAAUAUAUGAAGAACUCUUAGACCUCAACAAGAAAAAUAUAAAUAACCCAAUUUAAAAAUGGGCAAAGGAUUUGAAUAGACAUUUCUCCAAGAAGAUACACAAUGUCUCCUAAGCACAAGAAAAGAUGUUUCAUUAGCCAUUUAAAAAAUGCAAAUCAAAAUCACAAGAUGCCACUUUAGACCGAGUAGGAUAACUGCAAUAAAAAAACCCCAGACAAUAACAAGUGUUGACAAGGUUAUGAAGAAACUGGACUACUCAGACAUGGCUGGUGGGAAUCUAAAAUGGUGCAGCUGUUCUGGAAAACAGUCUUGAAGUUCUUUAAAAUGCAAAACAUAGAGUUACCAUAUGACUCAGUGAUUUUACUACUAGAUAUGUAUGUGCUCAAGAGAAACUGAAACAAAUGUGCAUACAAAAAAACUUGCAUAGAAUGUAACAGUGUUCAUAAUAUCCAAAAAGUAUAAACAACCCAAUUUUUCACCAACUGAGGAAUAGACAGAUUACAUGUGGUAUCUUACAAUGUAAUAUUGUUUGAUAAUAAAAAGGAAUGCGGUACUGACACAAUGACACAGCAGUGGAUGGACCUUGGACAUAUUAUACUAAAAGAAAGAAGACAGUCACACAAAACCAUAUUUAGCAUGAUU